UGGGGAAUUUUGGACAAUGGGGGCAACCCUGAUCCAGCCAUGCCGCGUGUGUGAAGAAGGCCUUCGGGUUGUAAAGCACUUUCGGGCGGAACGAAAUCGCGCGGGUGAAUAUCCCGCGUGGAUGACGGUACCGUAAGAAGAAGCACCGGCUAACUACGUGCCAGCAGCCGCGGUAAUACGUAGGGUGCAAGCGUUAAUCGGAAUUACUGGGCGUAAAGCGUGCGCAGGCGGUUGUGCAAGACAGAUGUGAAAUCCCCGGGCUUAACCUGGGAAUUGCAUUUGUGACUGCACGGCUAGAGUGUGUCAGAGGGGGGUAGAAUUCCACGUGUAGCAGUGAAAUGCGUAGAGAUGUGGAGGAAUACCGAUGGCGAAGGCAGCCCCCUGGGAUAACACUGACGCUCAUGCACGAAAGCGUGGGGAGCAAA
rnacentral:rRNA from 1 species